rnacentral:lncRNA from 1 species
GGAUUCAUUAUUGUGGUUGCCACUAAUUCAUAGGAUGUUCCAUUACAUUAUACCUUGAAGUCAAUCAAUUCUUUCCCGAUGUCUUCUUGUUUUUUUAAAACUCUUUCUAGUCAGAUAGAUUUCUAUCGUUAGUCUUGAAUUGUUCUCAAUUAGGCUUGUGCUACCGCACAUUCCCAUUCUAGCUGAAGCUGUGUCAUGAUUAU